rnacentral:rRNA from 1 species
GUAGGGAAUCUUGCGCAAUGGGCGAAAGCCUGACGCAGCAACGCCGCGUGCGGGAAGAAGGCCCUCGGGUUGUAAACCGCUUUUGGCAGGAACGAAAAUGACGGUACCUGCAGAAUAAGGUGCGGCCAACUACGUGCCAGCAGCCGCGGUGACACGUAGGCACCAAGCGUUGUCCGGAUUUAUUGGGCGUAAAGAGCUCGUAGGCGGUUCAGUAAGUCGGGUGUGAAAACUCUGGGCUUAACCCAGAGACGCCACCCGAUACUGCUGAACUUGAGUUCGGUAGGGGAGCGGGGAAUUCCUGGUGUAGCGGUGAAAUGCGCAGAUAUCAGGAGGAACACCGGUGGCGAAGGCGCCGCUCUGGGCCGAAACUGACGCUGAGGAGCGAAAGCGUGGGUAGCAAACAGGAUUAGAUACCCUGGUAGUCC